AGAGUUUGAUCCUGGCUCAGAUUGAACGCUGGCGGCAUGCUUUACACAUGCAAGUCGAACGGUAACAGGCCGCAAGGUGCUGACGAGUGGCGAACGGGUGAGUAAUGCAUCGGAACGUGCCCAGUCGUGGGGGAUAACGCAGCGAAAGCUGCGCUAAUACCGCAUACGAUCUAUGGAUGAAAGCGGGGGACCUUCGGGCCUCGCGCGAUUGGAGCGGCCGAUGUCAGAUUAGGUAGUUGGUGGGGUAAAGGCUCACCAAGCCGACGAUCUGUAGCUGGUCUGAGAGGACGACCAGCCACACUGGGACUGAGACACGGCCCAGACUCCUACGGGAGGCAGCAGUGGGGAAUUUUGGACAAUGGGGGCAACCCUGAUCCAGCCAUUCCGCGUGAGUGAAGAAGGCCUUCGGGUUGUAAAGCUCUUUCAGCUGGAGUGAAACGGUGCGCUCUAACAUAGCGUGCUAAUGACGGUACCAGCAGAAGAAGCACCGGCUAACUACGUGCCAGCAGCCGCGGUAAUACGUAGGGUGCGAGCGUUAAUCGGAAUUACUGGGCGUAAAGCGUGCGCAGGCGGAUUGUUAAGCAAGAUGUGAAAUCCCCGGGCUUAACCUGGGAAUGGCAUUUUGAACUGGCAGUCUAGAGUGCGUCAGAGGGGGGUGGAAUUCCACGUGUAGCAGUGAAAUGCGUAGAGAUGUGGAGGAACACCGAUGGCGAAGGCAGCCCCCUGGGAUGACACUGACGCUCAUGUACGAAAGCGUGGGUAGCAAACAGGAUUAGAUACCCUGGUAGUCCACGCCCCUAAACGAUGUCAACUGGUUGUUUGGGGGAGUGAAAUCCCUUAGUAACGAAGCUAACGCGUGAAGUUGACCGCCUGGGGAGUACGGUCGCAAGAUUAAAACUCAAAGGAAUUGACGGGGACCCGCACAAGCGGUGGAUGAUGUGGAUUAAUUCGAUGCAACGCGAAAAACCUUACCUACCCUUGACAUGUCCGGAAUCCUGCAGAGAUGCGGGAGUGCCCGAAAGGGAAUCGGAACACAGGUGCUGCAUGGCUGUCGUCAGCUCGUGUCGUGAGAUGUUGGGUUAAGUCCCGCAACGAGCGCAACCCUUAUCAUUAGUUGCUACGCAAGGGCACUCUAAUGAGACUGCCGGUGACAAACCGGAGGAAGGUGGGGAUGACGUCAAGUCCUCAUGGCCCUUAUGGGUAGGGCUUCACACGUCAUACAAUGGUCGGUACAGAGGGUUGCCAAGCCGCGAGGUGGAGCCAAUCCCAGAAAGCCGAUCGUAGUCCGGAUUGUUCUCUGCAACUCGAGAGCAUGAAGUCGGAAUCGCUAGUAAUCGCGGAUCAGCAUGUCGCGGUGAAUACGUUCCCGGGUCUUGUACACACCGCCCGUCACACCAUGGGAGUGGAAUCUGCCAGAAGUAGGUAGCCUAACCGCAAGGAGGGCGCUUACCANCGGUGGGUUUCAUGACUGGGGUGAAGUCGUAANCAAGGUACC
rnacentral:rRNA from 1 species